UACGGGGGGAGCAAGCGUUGUUCGGAUUUACUGGGCGUAAAGGGCGCGUAGGCGGCCACCGCAAGUCGGUUGUGAAAUCUCCGGGCUUAACCCGGAAAGGUCAAUCGAUACUGCGGGGCUAGAGUGCAGAAGGGGCAACUGGAAUUCUCGGUGUAGCGGUGAAAUGCGUAGAUAUCGAGAGGAACACCUGCGGCGAAGGCGGGUUGCUGGGCUGACACUGACGCUGAGGCGCGAAAGCCAGGGGAGCGAACGGG
rnacentral:rRNA from 1 species